GGAAGGAUCAUUACCGAGUUGAUUCGGGCUCCGUCCCGAUCCUCCCACCCUUUGUAUACCUACCUCUGUUGCUUUGGCGGGCCGCGGCCUUCCGCGGCCGCCCCCCCGCGUUUCGGGGAGGUGGCUAGUGCCCGCCAGAGGACCAUCAAACUCCAGUCAGUGAACAUUGCAGUCUGAAAGAAAAUGUUAAAUUAAACUAAAACUUUCAACAACGGAUCUCUUGGUUCUGGCAUCGAUGAAGAACGCAGCGAAAUGCGAUAAGUAAUGUGAAUUGCAGAAUUCAGUGAAUCAUCGAAUCUUUGAACGCACAUUGCGCCCCUUGGUAUUCCGGGGGGCAUGCCUGUUCGAGCGUCAUUUCAACCCUCAAGCUCUGCUUGGUAUUGGGCACCGUCCUUUUUGCGGGCGCGCCUCAAAGACCUCGGCGGUGGCGUCUUGCCUCAAGCGUAGUAGAAUACACCUCGCUUCGGAGCGCAGGGCGUCGCCCGCCGGACGAACCUUCUGAACUUUUUUUUCUCAAGGUUGACCUCGGAUCAGGUAGGGAUACCCGCU
rnacentral:rRNA from 1 species